rnacentral:rRNA from 1 species
GGCAGCACAGGAGAGCUUGCUCUCUGGGUGGCGAGUGGGGGACGGGUGAGGAAUACAUCGGAAUCUACUCUGUCGUGGGGGAUAACGUAGGGAAACUUACGCUAAUACCGCAUACGACCUACGGGUGAAAGCACGGGACCUUCCGGCCUUGCGCGAUUGAAUGAGCCGAUGUCGGAUUAUCUAGUUGGCGGGGUAAAGGCCCACCAAGGCGACGAUCCGUACCUGGUCUGAGAGGAUGAUCAGCCACACUGGAACUGAGACCCGGUCCAUACUCCUACGGGAGGCAGCAAUGGGGAAUAUUGGACAAUGGGCGCAAGCCUGAUCCACCCAUACCGCGUGGGUGAAGAACGCCUUCGGGUUGUAAAGCCCUUUUGUUGGGAAAGAAAUCCAUCUGGCUAAUACCCGGUUGGGAUGACGGUACCCAAAGAAUAAGCACCGGCUAACUUCGUGCCAGCAGCCGCGGUAAUACUAAGGGUGCAAGCGUUACUCGGAAUUACUGGGCGUAAAGCGUGCGUAUGUGGUCGUUUAAUUCCGUUGUGAAAGCCCUGGGCUCAACCUGGGAACUGCAAUGGAUACUGGACGACUAGAAUGUGGUAGAGGGUAUCGGAAUUCCUGGUGUAACAGUGAAAUGCAUAGAGAUCAAGAGGAACAUCCAUGGCGAACGCAGCUACCUGGACCAACAUUGACGCUGAAGCACGAGAGCGUGAGGAGCAAACAGGAUUACAUACCCUGGUAGUCCACGCCCUAAAC